UACGGGGGGGCAAGCGUUGUUCGGAAUUACUGGGCGUAAAGGGUUUGUAGGUGGCCCGCUAAGUCACACGUGAAAUCCCUCAGCUUAACUGGGGAACUGCGUGUGAGACUGGCAGGCUCGAGGGCAGGAGAGGAACGCGGAAUUCCAGGUGUAGCGGUGAAAUGCGUAGAUAUCUGGAGGAACACCGGUGGCGAAGGCGGCGUUCUGGACCUGUCUCUGACACUGAAGAAC
rnacentral:rRNA from 1 species